CCGGCACGGGUGAGUAACACGUAUGCAAUCCACCUGUAACAGGGGAGUAACCCGGAGAAAUCCGGACUAAUACCCCAUAAUAUGGGCGCUCCGCAUGGAGAGUCCAUUAAAGAGAGCAAUUUUGGUUACAGACGAGCAUGCGCUCCAUUAGCCAGUUGGCGGGGUAACGGCCCACCAAAGCGACGAUGGAUAGGGGUUCUGAGAGGAAGGUCCCCCACAUUGGAACUGAGACACGGUCCAA
rnacentral:rRNA from 1 species